rnacentral:rRNA from 2 species
UCGAACGGUAGCACAGAGAGCUUGCUCUCGGGUGACGAGUGGCGGACGGGUGAGUAAUGUCUGGGAAACUGCCUGAUGGAGGGGGAUAACUACUGGAAACGGUAGCUAAUACCGCAUAACGUCGCAAGACCAAAGAGGGGGACCUUCGGGCCUCUUGCCAUCAGAUGUGCCCAGAUGGGAUUAGCUAGUAGGUGGGGUAACGGCUCACCUAGGCGACGAUCCCUAGCUGGUCUGAGAGGAUGACCAGCCACACUGGAACUGAGACACGGUCCAGACUCCUACGGGAGGCAGCAGUGGGGAAUAUUGCACAAUGGGCGCAAGCCUGAUGCAGCCAUGCCGCGUGUAUGAAGAAGGCCUUCGGGUUGUAAAGUACUUUCAGCGGGGAGGAAGGUGUUGUGGUUAAUAACCACAGCAAUUGACGUUACCCGCAGAAGAAGCACCGGCUAACUCCGUGCCAGCAGCCGCGGUAAUACGGAGGGUGCAAGCGUUAAUCGGAAUUACUGGGCGUAAAGCGCACGCAGGCGGUCUGUCAAGUCGGAUGUGAAAUCCCCGGGCUCAACCUGGG